GUCAAGGUUGAGAAACACUGAACUACUAGAUACCAAGUGAUUAGGUUAAACCUUUGAGUGUGCUUGUUUUUAUCUUAUAGGAAAAUGCUCCAUUAAUCAAUUUUAUUCAUGGGGAUUAUUAACACUCUUUGCAAACAACAAAAAGGCAUUGCUUUUCAGACAAGCUUCACAGUCUGAUUUGGUCACAAUCUAUUUAAAUCAUUUUAGUUGUCCUCCGUGUUUUAUCCAUCUGAGGCAUUCUGGUUGGAGAGUAGCUAUCCAUAAAGGCUGAUUUGGUUUUCCUGUAUUGCCAGGGAGCAGGAUAACAUCUGUCCCUUGGACAGAAAUAUGGAAUAUAAACGAAAUAGUCAUAACCAAAGCUUUAUAGGAAAAACAAAAUGGAGAUGCUGGACAAUGCUCUUUUGCAGAGUUCUUUUUUAGGAAAACCAUAAAAACAAAGGAAACCUCUUCCUGAAAUUUGGAGGCAAGUGAUCCAAGGCCACUGAAAUGUCCCUCUCAGUUGAAAUUGGCUUGAUAUACUAGAAACCUGAUCUGCAAAGGCAGAAUGUGGUAGAAUAGAUAUUGUCAAAGCCAACUGAAGGAAAGAAGAGAACCUCAUUUUCAGCUAUUUCCAAUACAGUUGCACCAAAAUGUUAUUCUGCAUUUUUAAGCAUUCUUAAUUCACUCAUGGGAAAAAAAACCUGUAUUCAAACUUUUUAAUGUAAUCCUCCAUGAUUAUGUGCAACAGUUUUUGCAUUUAUAUUCGCUACAACAUGGUAAAAAAAAAAACUUAGGGGUCAAUGUCUUUCAUCAUACAACCCGCUUUCCAGGAAUUUGCAGAUUCAAUGGCUGAAAAUUGAGAAGAAUCUUUUCAAGGUUUUUUCCAGACCUGUAAAUUAGGUGAAGCUACACUAUCAAAGAGACCUAGAACAAAAAACAAACACCUUCCCCUCUCUCCCGACAAUGACAUAAUUUCAAAUAUACUAUCCCAAUAAAUUUGAGAAUAAGGUAAAUGAUUAAGUAGAAGCUCUUUUACAGAGGAGAAAACUAUUGAUAAACAAGGUAGGUUUUUUAAGCACAGUUAUUAUGUAAGAACUCCCAAAGAUAGGAAAACAUGCAUAUAGGAUGCAGGCAAAGAAGAUAAUUCAUCUUUUUCUUUCUUUGCACUGUGUUCAGCAGAAAAAAAAAAUGGCUACAGAUCAGAGGAUACCAUAUAGUUUUUGCCUUCAGAUACAUUCCUUUUGAGACAACUGGUUUCCUCUUCUCUACUUAAGUUAUAUAUGAUUUGCAAUAUAAUUAGAGCUUUUAUUUUUACACAUUCUCAACCAAUGCUUAACAAGCAAAUGGAUAAUCAAUACUGCUAUCCAAAAUUCAGCACAAUUUCACACUAUUUCCAUAUGGACUAAGAGAAGCUGAUUUGAAUAGCACUAUAAUAAGUUCUAUUUCUCAACAUUUUUUUGGGCAGAAAGAACCUGUCACAUAACAAAUGAGCCUAUGCACAGGACUUAGCAAUGGUUGCUUCCUUCUGAGUUUUUUUUUUAAUUACCCUUGAAUUUAAAUACCUUGCAUGGAAACAAGUUAUGUUGGAGUAACUUGGAUGUCAAGUGCAAUUUUGCAAACAUCAGGACACAAAUAUGGACUGGUUCACAAAGCACACAAAGUUAUAGAACCAUAAGGUUGGAAGGAGCCAGCAUCCAAAUUAAACUCUCAGCCACCAAGCCUCUGCCUGAACAUAUAUUUUGCUCAAUUUUGGCUCACUAUAUUGGACAGACCUACUCCACUCAUUGUGAUUUAUCCUGUGAACUGUAGUUAAGUAAAUCAUGACUCACUGGUAUAUAACCUAGGCAAGAUAGAACCAUGACAAAUAGGCUUUAUGCCAGAAAGUAUAGCACUGUAAGCAAUUCAUCAAACUUCCCAAACCUGUAUCAAACCUAAGAAAGUAGAAAUAAAAAUACUAUUUGAUUUGUUCAAUUGCUGUCCCACCUACAAUCCUUUAAAUACACCUACAUUACUACAUUUUGACAAGACUUUUUAAUUUAUUGCUAUGGUUACUAUUAAACCAGUAUUGGACUGCACUGUAGAGCAUUCUUCCAAUUUGUUACACUCAGAUUAAACAUUCCUCCAACAAUAUGCUUCCUAGACUGGACAUAAGGUUUUUAUUGACUAUACUGUUAGCCUUCAUCAUUUUGAUAUUGGCUUUUCUGUUCAAUUAAAAAUGACAGACUAACUUUUGAGAAAAUAGAUUUUUAUUAGUUUUUUUUUUUAAGAGAUCAAACACUCAACACAUUGAAAGCCCCUUUUCAGAUCACAACUAGUGUUUUCCACAAGCAUCCUUUUGUUUAGGAGUGAUCUGCUCCAACAAUAGAAAAAGCCAUCCACAUCAGGUGGUUUGUGCUGCUCUGGUCAGUUUCAGAGACAACUGCCAAUUACAGGAUUAGGACCAGGAUUUGUGCUAUUGGAAUGGCAUAAGAGGUAAAAACUUGGCAGGACCCCCUCCCCCAACCUAUAUCAUAUUAUGUUUAAAGACCAAAUUAAUUUCACAAUGGAAGGUUGUACUGAGUAGUGUUCUGAGGAUAGCAAGUAAAGCCAAGAAUGACUAUUGAAAGAGGAUAGAGAUAAAAUCAGAACCAGCCUAGAUCACCAGAUGUCUUCCAGUAGCUUUAGAUAUUAACUUUCAUUUAUGUGUCUAGUCAAUAGCAAAUGGUUUUUGGAAUAGCAGUAUAAGGCAGGGGUCUUCAACCUUGGCAACUUUAAGACUUGGGGACUUCAACUCCCAGAAUUCCUCAGCUGGCUUAAAGUCUUAAAGUCGCCAAGGUUGAGGACCCCUAUAAGGUAUCUGGAAGGCACACAGAGCCAGGCUAUUCCCCCGUGCAAGCAUCCAUUAUCACUAAUAAUUUGGCUAUUCACAAGCCAUGUUAAGAUAUAGUUCUCUAUAUACAUAGGAUACUUUGAAGUAUAGCAUCCCAAACCUCAAUUCAACACUCUCCAUUUACUCUAGAAAGAGCAUAGUAAGCAGCUAAGGCAGCCACUGAUUAAACAGAGGCCUCGCAGAGAAGGCAAUGCAUAAAUCCCAUGUACUUAUGAGUUUUUUUUUCUUUGCUCUCUCCAUCUAGAACUGUUUUGAAAGGUAAUUUAAAUAUGUACUGAAAUACUAUUGCAUUAGGAAGAUGUGAAUCAUUCUGUAUCUUGGCACAAAUGAUGUGACUCCUCUGUAGCAAUGUUCCCUAUCCUUUUUUUUUUCUUUUGGCACUCUAGAGUGGUUAGCCUUCUGCCUUGGAUUGCACCAUAUAUGAACUGGGACAAGUAUCAUCCAAUCAUCAGUAGAAGAUACAAUUAACAAUUGCAGAGGACAGAAGACUGCAGUGAAACUUCAGCAUGGCGUUUCCUACUUCUUUUCACCUACUCUGCAAAAGCCAGUUAUGCACUUAGGAGGAGAAAGGAUAGCAGUUUGGAAGCCACCUUUAGUCCUGAAGCCUUUUAAGUUGGGUGGCCUAAAACAGCCUUUCUUUGUAGUCUAGUUUAUCUAGAAUGUACAGGAUGGGGAAGGCUAACUUAGAUCAAUUUUGUUUGAGGCCAAAGAGAGAAUUGAGGUUUAGAAACCAAAACUAUGGUACUUUGGUAUGAUUAAGUAAAGUAAAUUCAACAGAGUUCAAUACAUUGUAUUUAUUUAUGGUGACAGAUUCUAAAGAAUCCAAAGUUCUUAUGUCAGGCUUAUUGCAUGACAGAUUUGAUAGCUGCAGAACACAUUCAAACACAAGUCUAGAAGUGCCAUUCAUAGUGUCAAACUCUUCAGCAUAUUCUCAUGCACACAAGGAAAACAGCAGCAUCACAGCAGAUAUAUCUGGUGCAGCUUCUACUUAUAUUUCACCACACAUCUCUAUACAGCAAAAAGUGCUUUAAAAAAGCAUCCAGCAAGCCUUUGAUUACAUGGGAUAACUUUGUUCCCCAAACACAGCAUUGAUCUGUUUUUUUUUAAAAAGAGGCAAUUUUUACUAUUUAAAUUUUCACCCAUCAUUUCAGCCAAAAACAUUGCUGGCAGCCAGUUGUGCGGUUUUAGUGCAAACCCAUUUCCUUCCUCGUAAAUGUGAAUUAUCAAAUGGCUGUCAAAGGAGACAGUUUAGAAAAGCAGAGCCUUCUUUCAAGCGGCAAAGGAAACCUAGGACAACCCCCUUAAUCAUCAGGCACUGCAGCCAUGUUCACUACAGAAUAUGGAAGACUUCACCAGUAUAGAGGAGAGAUCAUCUAAAGUCACCUACCGGUAUAUAUUCAAGAAAUCUAUUUACACAGCACUGGAUUUAUCAAAAACGAGAAGUUUCUCUUAGCUUGUACAACUUGUAAAAAUACCAAAGUGGGUGAAGUUGGGGUAAGUAUUGGUCAAUUAGUCAACACAUCUUAAACAACUGCCUUACCAUCUCAGCUCAUUGUCUCUCAGGAAGAGGCAGGAUGUUAGCUAGACACAAUCCAAGUAUAUAUUUUAUUUCUUUUUUUUUUUUU